rnacentral:tRNA from 2 species
UCGACGAUGGCGAGGUUGCGUUCGAGGUUGCCGUCGGCGAAGCGCGGCUGCGUGCGCCGCACGUCGUUC